rnacentral:rRNA from 1 species
UUGGAGGGCAAGUCUGGUGCCAGCACCCGCGGUAAUUCCAGCACCAAUAGCGUAUAUUAAUGUUGUUGCAGUUAAAAAGCUCGUAGUUGAACUUCAGGCUUGGUCGGGCGGUCCGCCUCACGGUGUGUACUGUCUGACUGAGUCUUACCUCUUGGUGGACCGGCGCGCCCUUUAUUGGUGUGCGUUGGGGAGCCAGGACUGUUACCUUGAGAAAAUUAGAGUGUUUAAAGCAGGC